GAGUUUGAUCAUGGCUCAGGACGAACGCUGGCGGCAUGCCUAACACAUGCAAGUCGAACGGACCGAUAGAGAUUAGCUUGCUAAUUUCUUGAAGUUAGUGGCGGACGGGUGAGUAACGCGUGGGUAACCUGCCCAUAAGACGGGGAUAACUCCGGGAAACCGGGGCUAAUACCGGAUAAGCUUCAGAGAUCACAUGAUCAUUGAAGUAAAGGUGGCCUCUUAACAAUGCUAUCGCUUAUGGAUGGACCCGCGUCUGAUUAGCUAGUUGGUAAGGUAACGGCUUACCAAGGCGACGAUCAGUAGCCGGCCUGAGAGGGUGAACGGCCACACUGGGACUGAGACACGGCCCAGACUCCUGCGGGAGGCAGCAGUGGGGAAUCUUCCGCAAUGGGCGAAAGCCUGACGGAGCAAUGCCGCGUGAGUGAAGAAGGCCUUCGGGUUGUAAAACUCCGUCCUAAUGGAAGAAAGGUCAUAGUGUGAAUAAUGCUAUGAAUUGACGGUACAUUGGGAGGAAGCCCCGGCUAACUACGUGCCAGCAGCCGCGGUAAUACGUAGGGGGCGAGCGUUGUCCGGAAUCACUGGGCGUAAAGCGCGCGUAGGCGGAUAUUUAAGUCAGAUGUGAAAACUUUGGGCUCAACCUAGAGACUGCAUCUGAUACUGGAUAUCUUGAGUGCAGGAGAGGAGAGUGGAAUUCCUAGUGUAGCGGUGAAAUGCGUAGAUAUUAGGAGGAACACCAGUGGCGAAGGCGACUCUCUGNACUGUAACUGACGCUGAGGCGCGAAAGCGUGGGGAGCGAACAGGAUUAGAUACCCUGGUAGUCACGCCGUAAACGAUGGGUACUAGGUGUUGGGGCGUCAAAACCUCAGUGCCGCAGUUAACACAUUAAGUACCCCGCCUGGGGAGUACGGUCGCAAGACUGAAACUCAAAGGAAUUGACGGGGGCCCGCACAAGCGGUGGAGCAUGUGGUUUAAUUCGACGCAACGCGAAGAACCUUACCAAGACUUGACAUCCCUCUGACGUCUCUUUAAUCGGAGAUUUUCUUCGGAACAGAGGUGACAGGUGGUGCAUGGUUGUCGUCAGCUCGUGUCGUGAGAUGUUGGGUUAAGUCCCGCAACGAGCGCAACCCUUACUUCUAGUUGCCAGCAUUAAGUUGGGCACUCUAGAGGGACUGCCGGUGACAAACCGGAGGAAGGUGGGGAUGACGUCAAAUCAUCAUGCCCCUUAUGUCUUGGGCUACACACGUGCUACAAUGGACAGUACAAAGGGCAGCGAAGCCGCGAGGUGAAGCGAAUCCCAAAAAGCUGUUCUCAGUUCGGAUUGCAGGCUGCAACUCGCCUGCAUGGAGUCGGAAUCGCUAGUAAUCGCAGGUCAGCAUACUGCGGUGAAUACGUUCCCGGGCCUUGUACACACCGCCCGUCACACCACGAAAGUUGGUAACACCCGAAGCCGGUGAUCUAACCUUAGGGAGGAAGCCGUCGAAGGUGGGACCAAUGAUUGGGGUGAAGUCGUAACAAGGUAGCCGUA
rnacentral:rRNA from 1 species